AACGAACGCUGGCGGCAUGCCUAACACAUGCAAGUCGAACGAGACCUUCGGGUCUAGUGGCGCACGGGUGCGUAACGCGUGGGAACCUGCCCUUAGGUUCGGAAUAACUGCCCGAAAGGGGUGCUAAUACCGGAUAAUGUCUUCGGACCAAAGAUUUAUCGCCUUUGGAUGGGCCCGCGUUGGAUUAGCUAGUUGGUAGGGUAAAAGCCUACCAAGGCGACGAUCCAUAGCUGGUCUGAGAGGAUGAUCAGCCACACUGGGACUGAGACACAGCCCAGACUCCUACGGGAGGCAGCAGUGGGGAAUAUUGGACAAUGGGCGAAAGCCUGAUCCAGCAAUGCCGCGUGAGUGAUGAAGGCCUUAGGGUUGUAAAGCUCUUUUACCCGGGAUGAUAAUGACAGUACCGGGAGAAUAAGCUCCGGCUAACUCCGUG
rnacentral:rRNA from 1 species